CUGGGGACGCUGUCCUCACCCUGCAGUCACAGGCUCACGGAGGGCACCAUGGAGUGACACCUCCGGUCCCCGCCUCUCCUGACCCUGCCCAGGCCGCGUCACCCCCACCGUGUGGGCUCAGGGCACCAGGGCCAAACAAGCCACAACCCCCAACCCCGGCCUUGGAGUGGAGGCGAGGGACAGGGCAGACCUGGGUGUUCACCCCACACAUAUGCUGGGCCCAUGCCCUCUGCCUGUCCCCAGCUGCUCACCUUUCGGAGCUUGUCCUUCCCGCCGGCCGCGUGGAUGGCGUCCAUCAGCGCGCUGUGCAGGCACGUGUCCUUCCGGACAGGCUUCUGGGCUACCGGUCUGAACUUCUUCUUCGGCCCGAAGAUGCCGGUUGGCAAGGAGCAGUCCGCGUGCCGCGCAG
rnacentral:lncRNA from 1 species